ACCUGGGUGGCUCAGUUGGUUAAGCGUCUGACUUCAGCUCAGGUCAUGAUCUCAGUUUGUGGGUUUGAGCCCCGCGUCAGGCU
rnacentral:tRNA from 1 species